GACGAACGCUGGCGGCGUGCUUAACACAUGCAAGUCGAACGGAAAGGCCCUGCCGUUGUGGGGCGCGCGAGUGGCGAACGGGUGAGUAACACGUGAGUACCCUGCCCUUGACUUUGGGAUAGCGUCAGGAAACUGAGGAUAAUACCGGAUCGGAGCUCCUGCUGCGGGGUGGGGGGUGGAUAGCGUCGGCGGUGGGGGAUGGAUUCGAGGCUUAUCAGCUUGGGGGUGGGGUAGUGGCUUACGAAGGGUUUGACGGGUAGCCGGCCUGGGAGGGUGACCAGCGACCAGGGGACUGCGGGACGCCCCAGUCGCCAACGGGGGGCAGUAGGGGAGAACAUUGCCCAAUGGGCCGAAGCCUGAUACAACAACGUUGCGUGUGGGAUGACGGCCUUCGGGGUGUAAACCGCUUUCGCCUGUGACGGAGCGUUAGUGACGGUAAUGGAUAAAGAAGCACCGGCUAACUACGUG
rnacentral:rRNA from 1 species